rnacentral:rRNA from 1 species
AGCUGGCGAGGAUGGCACUGACGCUGAGGCACGAAGGCGUGGGGAUCGAACAGGAUUAGAUACCCUGGUAGUCCACGCAGUAAACGAUGGCGACUUGUUGUCGGCGACAGACAGCCGGUGACAAAGCGAAAGCGAUAAGUCGCCCACCUGGGGAGUACGAUCGCAAGGUUGAAACUCAAAGGAAUUGACGGGGGCCCGCACAAGCGGAGGAGCAUGUGGUUUAAUUCGAUGAUACGCGAGGAACCUUACCUGGACUCAAAUGUUGGGUGGCCGGGGCAGAGAUGCCCCUUCCCUUCGGGGCGCCCAGCAAGGUGCUGCAUGGUUGUCGUCAGCUCGUGCCGUGAGGUGUCAGGUUAAGUCCUAUAACGAGCGCAACCCCUACGUCCAGUUGCCAGCGGGUCAGGCCGGGGACUCUGGACGGACUGCCGGCGCAAGCCGAGAGGAAGGCGGGGAUGACGUCAAAUCAGCACGGCCCUUACGUCCAGGGCGACACACGUGCUACAAUGGCCGGUACAGAGGGCAGCCACGCCGCGAGGCGGAGCGAAUCUCGAAAGCCGGUCUCAGUUCGGAUCGGAGUCUGCAACCCGACUCCGUGAAGUUG